rnacentral:rRNA from 1 species
GAUGAACGCUGGCGGCGUGCCUAAUACAUGCAAGUCGAGCGAACAGACGAGGAGCUUGCUCCUUUGACGUUAGCGGCGGACGGGUGAGUAACACGUGGGUAACCUACCUAUAAGACUGGGAUAACUUCGGGAAACCGGAGCUAAUACCGGAUAAUAUUUCGAACCGCAUGGUUCGAUGGUGAAAGAUGGCUUUGCUAUCACUUAUAGAUGGACCUGCGCCGUAUUAGCUAGUUGGUAAGGUAACGGCUUACCAAGGCAACGAUACGUAGCCGACCUGAGAGGGUGAUCGGCCACACUGGAACUGAGACACGGUCCAGACUCCUACGGGAGGCAGCAGUAGGGAAUCUUCCGCAAUGGGCGAAAGCCUGACGGAGCAACGCCGCGUGAGUGAUGAAGGUCUUCGGAUCGUAAAACUCUGUUAUUAGGGAAGAACAAACGUGUAAGUAACUGUGCACGUCUUGACGGUACCUAAUCAGAAAGCCACGGCUAACUACGUG